UGAAUGCGUUCAGUGAAGCAAGCC
rnacentral:piRNA from 1 species